rnacentral:rRNA from 1 species
AGUGAACGCUGGCGGUAGGCCUAACACAUGCAAGUCGAACGGCAGCACAGUAAGAGCUUGCUCUUACGGGUGGCGAGUGGCGGACGGGUGAGGAAUACAUCGGAAUCUACUUUUUCGUGGGGGAUAACGUAGGGAAACUUACGCUAAUACCGCAUACGACCUACGGGUGAAAGCAGGGGAUCUUCGGACCUUGCGCGAUUGAAUGAGCCGAUGUCGGAUUAGCUAGUUGGCGGGGUAAAGGCCCACCAAGGCGACGAUCCGUGGCUGGUCUGAGAGGAUGAUCAGCCACACUGGAACUGAGACACGGUCCAGACUCCUACGGGAGGCAGCAGUGGGGAAUAUUGGACAAUGGGCGCAAGGCUGAUCCAGCCAUACCGCGUGGGUGAAGAAGGCCUUCGGGUUGUAAAGCCCUUUUGUUGGGAAAGAAAAGCAGCAGGUUAAUACCCCGCUGUUCUGACGGUACCCAAAGAAUAAGCACCGGCUAACUUCGUG